rnacentral:rRNA from 1 species
AUGCUUAGUAACGGCGAGUGAAGCGGCAAAAGCUCAAAUUUGAAAUCUGGCACCUUCGGUGUCCGAGUUGUAAUUUGAAGAAGGUAACUUUGGAGUUGGCUCUUGUCUAUGUUCCUUGGAACAGGACGUCACAGAGGGUGAGAAUCCCGUGCGAUGAGAUGCCCAAUUCUAUGUAAAGUGCUUUCGAAGAGUCGAGUUGUUUGGGAAUGCAGCUCUAAGUGGGUGGUAAAUUCCAUCUAAAGCUAAAUAUUGGCGAGAGACCGAUAGCGAACAAGUACAGUGAUGGAAAGAUGAAAAGAACUUUGAAAAGAGAGUGAAAAAGUACGUGAAAUUGUUGAAAGGGAAGGGCUUGAGAUCAGACUUGGUAUUUUGCGAUCCUUUCCUUUUUGGUUGGGUUCUCCGCAGCUUACUGGGCCAGCAUCGGUUUGGACGGUAGGAUAAUGAUUAAGGAAUGUGGCUCUGCUUCGGUGGAGUGUUAUAGCCUUGGUUGAUGCUGCCUGUCUAGACCGAGGACUGCGUCUUUUGACUAGGAUGUUGGCAUAAUGAUCUUAAGCCACCCGUCUUGACACACGGACCA